rnacentral:rRNA from 1 species
GACGAACGCUGGCGGCGUGCUUAACACAUGCAAGUCGAACGGAAAGGCCCUGCUUUUGUGGGGUGCUCGAGUGGCGAACGGGUGAGUAACACGUGAGUAACCUGCCCUUGACUUUGGGAUAACUUCAGGAAACUGGGGCUAAUACCGGAUAGGAGCUCCUGCUGCAUGGUGGGGGUUGGAAAGUUUCGGCGGUUGGGGAUGGACUCGCGGCUUAUCAGCUUGUUGGUGGGGUAGUGGCUUACCAAGGCUUUGACGGGUAGCCGGCCUGAGAGGGUGACCGGCCACAUGGGGACUGAGAUACGGCCCAGACUCCUACGGGAGGCAGCAGUGGGGAAUAGUGCACAAUGGGCGGAAGCCUGAUGCAGCAACGCCGCGUGCGGGAUGACGGCCUUCGGGUUGUAAACCGCUUUCGCCUGUGACGAAGCGUGAGUGACGGUAAUGGGUAAAGAAGCACCGGCUAACUACGUG